UACAGAGGGUGCGAGCGUUAAUCGGAAUUACUGGGCGUAAAGCGUGCGUAGACGGCUAUCUAAGUCGGGUGUGAAAGCCCCGGGCUCAACCUGGGAAUUGCAUUCGAGACUGAAUAGCUAGGGUGCGGAAGAGGGAAGCGGAAUUUCCGGUGUAGCGGUGAAAUGCGUAGAUAUCGGAAGGAACACCAGUGGCGAAAGCGGCUUCCUGGUCCAGCACCGACGUUCAGGCACGAAAGCGUGGGGAGCAAACAGG
rnacentral:rRNA from 1 species